UUCUAGCCCAGAUGGAAGCGGCAUCCUUUUUUGGGUCUUUUUUCGGACCAAAAAAGAUAUAGCGGACAGCUGGAAAUAGC
rnacentral:sRNA from 1 species